CCUACGGGAGGCUGCAGUGAGGAAUAUUUGUCAAUGGACGGAAGUCUGAACCAGCCAUGCCGCGUGCAGGAAGACGGCUCUAUGAGUUGUAAACUGCUUUUGUACAAGGGUAAACCUGAAUACGUGUAUUCAGCUGAAAGUACUGUACGAAUAAGGAUCGGCCAACUCCGUGCCAGCAGCCGAGGCAAUACGGAGGAGCCAAGCGUUGUCCGGAUUUAUUGGGUGUAAAGGGUGCGUAGGCGGAUUGAUAAGUUAGAGGUGAAAUGUCCGAGCUUAACUCGGGAACUGCCUCUAAUACUGUUGAACUAGAGAGUAGAUGCGGUAGGCGGAAUGUAUGGUGUAGCGGUGAAAUGCUUAGAGAUCGUACAGAACACCGAUUGCGAAGGCAGCUUACCAAUCUAUAUCUGACGUUGAGGCACGAAAGCGUGGGGAGCAAACAGGAUUAGAUACCCCGGUAGUC
rnacentral:rRNA from 1 species